GCUGUAUGUCAUGUCCUUCACUAGAAUAAAAUGUUUGACUAUAUAUUCGAUUACUUCCUCUAUUCAGAGUUGAGCUUUCAGCAUAUAGUUUCCAGUUAAUCCGGCCCAAUUGUGCGAAAACAAAGCACCUUUUGAAGCAUACUUGGAAUCUAUUUGGAAACAAACCUUGCUUAUGCUCAGAUAUUCCGUAAACCCUAGACCCAUUAAAAACGAGGUAUAAUGUUGACGAUACAUGUAUAUAUAUAUCAUUAUAUUAAUGGCAUAUCCGUCCAUCUCUAUGUCGAAUAGAAUAUCAGAUCUAGUAAAAACUGCAAAUGACAAAUUAUGGACAUUUCAUGGGAUUGAACUAUA